ensembl:misc_RNA Metazoa_SRP Metazoan signal recognition particle RNA
GCUGGGCAUGGUGGUGCAUGUCUGUGGUCCCAGCUACUUGGGAGGCUGAGGUGGGAGGAUCACUUGAGCCUGGGAGUUCAAGGCUGCAGUGAGCCAUGAUCAUGCCACUGCAUUCCAGCCUGGGUAACAAAGUGAGACCCUGUCUUUU